rnacentral:rRNA from 1 species
CCUACGGGUGGCAGCAGUGAGGAAUAUUGGUCAAUGGACGAGAGUCUGAACCAGCCAAGUAGCGUGAAGGAUGACUGCCCUAUGGGUUGUAAACUUCUUUUAUAUGGGAAUAAAAUGUUCCACGUGUGGGCUUUUGUAUGUACCAUAUGAAUAAGGAUCGGCUAACACCGUGCCAACAGCCGCGGUAAUACGGAGGUUCCGAGCGUUAUCCGGAUUUAUUGGGUUUAAAGGGAGCGUAGGUGGAUUGUUAAGUCAGUUGUGAAAGUUUGCGGCUCAACCGUAAAACUGCAGUUGAAACUGGGAGUCUUGAGUAUAGUAGAGGUGGGCGGAAUUCGUGGUGUAGCGGUGAAAUGCUUAGAUAUCACGCAGAACUCCGAUUGCGAAGGCAGCUCACUGGACUGCAACUGACACUGAGGCUCGAAAGUGUGGGUAUCAAACAGGAUUAGAUACCCCAGUAGUC